rnacentral:piRNA from 1 species
UGUUCAGAUCGAAUUACCGGUGCAUGC